rnacentral:rRNA from 1 species
GAUGAACGCUAGCGACAGGCCUAACACAUGCAAGUCGAGGGGCAGCACAUGCGUAGCAGUACAAUGGUGGCGACCGGCGCACGGGUGAGUAACACGUAUGCAACCUACCUGUAAGAGGGGAAUAACCCGGAGAAAUUCGGACUAACACCGCAUAAUACCUCGAAGCUGCAUGGCUUUGAGGUUAAAUAUUUAUAGCUUACAGAUGGGCAUGCGUAACAUUAGAUAGUUGGUGAGGUAACGGCUCACCAAGUCAACGAUGUUUAGGGGUUCUGGGAGGAAGGGCCCCCACACUGGGACGGAGACACGGACCAGACUCCUACGGGAGGCAGCAGUGAGGAAUAUUGGUCAAUGGGCGAGAGCCUGAACCAGCCAAGUCGCGUGAAGGAAGAAGGUUCUAUGGAUUGUAAACUGCUUUUAUAAAGGAAUAACAACAGAAACGAGUUUCUGGAUGAAUGUACUUUAGGAAUAAGGAUCGGCUAACUCCGUGCCAGCCGCCGCUGUAACAC